rnacentral:rRNA from 1 species
ACUAAGCGUACACGGUGGAUGCCCUGGCAGUCAGAGGCGAUGAAGGACGUGCUAAUCUGCGAUAAGCGUCGGUAAGGUGAUAUGAACCGUUAUAACCGGCGAUUUCCGAAUGGGGAAACCCAGUGUGUUUCGACACACUAUCAUUAACUGAAUCCAUAGGUUAAUGAGGCGAACCGGGGGAACUGAAACAUCUAAGUACCCCGAGGAAAAGAAAUCAACCGAGAUUCCCCCAGUAGCGGCGAGCGAACGGGGAGGAGCCCAGAGCCUGAAUCAGUAUGUGUGUUAGUGGAAGCGUCUGGAAAGACGCGCGAUACAGGGUGACAGCCCCGUACACAAAAAUGCACAUGCUGUGAGCUCGAUGAGUAGGGCGGGACACGUGGUAUCCUGUCUGAAUAUGGGGGGACCAUCCUCCAAGGCUAAAUACUCCUGACUGACCGAUAGUGAACCAGUACCGUGAGGGAAAGGCGAAAAGAACCCCGGCGAGGGGAGUGAAAAAGAACCUGAAACCGUGUACGUACAAGCAGUGGGAGCCUCUUUAUGGGGUGACUGCGUACCUUUUGUAUAAUGGGUCAGCGACUUAUAUUCUGUAGCAAGGUUAACCGAAUAGGGGAGCCGAAGGGAAACCGAGUCUUAACUGGGCGUUAAGUUGCAGGGUAUAGACCCGAAACCCGGUGAUCUAGCCAUGGGCAGGUUGAAGGUUGGGUAACACUAACUGGAGGACCGAACCGACUAAUGUUGAAAAAUUAGCGGAUGACUUGUGGCUGGGGGUGAAAGGCCAAUCAAACCGGGAGAUAGCUGGUUCUCCCCGAAAGCUAUUUAGGUAGCGCCUCGUGAACUCAUCUCCGGGGGUAGAGCACUGUUUCGGCAAGGGGGUCAUCCCGACUUACCAACCCGAUGCAAACUGCGAAUACCGGAGAAUGUUAUCACGGGAGACACACGGCGGGUGCUAACGUCCGUCGUGAAGAGGGAAACAACCCAGACCGCCAGCUAAGGUCCCAAAGUCAUGGUUAAGUGGGAAACGAUGUGGGAAGGCCCAGACAGCCAGGAUGUUGGCUUAGAAGCAGCCAUCAUUUAAAGAAAGCGUAAUAGCUCACUGGUCGAGUCGGCCUGCGCGGAAGAUGUAACGGGGCUAAACCAUGCACCGAAGCUGCGGCAGCGACGCUUAUGCGUUGUUGGGUAGGGGAGCGUUCUGUAAGCCUGUGAAGGUGUGCUGUGAGGCAUGCUGGAGGUAUCAGAAGUGCGAAUGCUGACAUAAGUAACGAUAAAGCGGGUGAAAAGCCCGCUCGCCGGAAGACCAAGGGUUCCUGUCCAACGUUAAUCGGGGCAGGGUGAGUCGACCCCUAAGGCGAGGCCGAAAGGCGUAGUCGAUGGGAAACAGGUUAAUAUUCCUGUACUUGGUGUUACUGCGAAGGGGGGACGGAGAAGGCUAUGUUGGCCGGGCGACGGUUGUCCCGGUUUAAGCGUGUAGGCUGGUUUUCCAGGCAAAUCCGGAAAAUCAAGGCUGAGGCGUGAUGACGAGGCACUACGGUGCUGAAGCAACAAAUGCCCUGCUUCCAGGAAAAGCCUCUAAGCAUCAGGUAACAUCAAAUCGUACCCCAAACCGACACAGGUGGUCAGGUAGAGAAUACCAAGGCGCUUGAGAGAACUCGGGUGAAGGAACUAGGCAAAAUGGUGCCGUAACUUCGGGAGAAGGCACGCUGAUAUGUAGGUGAAGUCCCUCGCGGAUGGAGCUGAAAUCAGUCGAAGAUACCAGCUGGCUGCAACUGUUUAUUAAAAACACAGCACUGUGCAAACACGAAAGUGGACGUAUACGGUGUGACGCCUGCCCGGUGCCGGAAGGUUAAUUGAUGGGGUCAGCGCAAGCGAAGCUCUUGAUCGAAGCCCCGGUAAACGGCGGCCGUAACUAUAACGGUCCUAAGGUAGCGAAAUUCCUUGUCGGGUAAGUUCCGACCUGCACGAAUGGCGUAAUGAUGGCCAGGCUGUCUCCACCCGAGACUCAGUGAAAUUGAACUCGCUGUGAAGAUGCAGUGUACCCGCGGCAAGACGGAAAGACCCCGUGAACCUUUACUAUAGCUUGACACUGAACAUUGAGCCUUGAUGUGUAGGAUAGGUGGGAGGCUUGGAAGUGUGGACGCCAGUCUGCAUGGAGCCGACCUUGAAAUACCACCCUUUAAUGUUUGAUGUUCUAACGUUGACCCGUAAUCCGGGUUGCGGACAGUGUCUGGUGGGUAGUUUGACUGGGGCGGUCUCCUCCUAAAGAGUAACGGAGGAGCACGAAGGUUGGCUAAUCCUGGUCGGACAUCAGGAGGUUAGUGCAAUGGCAUAAGCCAGCUUGACUGCGAGCGUGACGGCGCGAGCAGGUGCGAAAGCAGGUCAUAGUGAUCCGGUGGUUCUGAAUGGAAGGGCCAUCGCUCAACGGAUAAAAGGUACUCCGGGGAUAACAGGCUGAUACCGCCCAAGAGUUCAUAUCGACGGCGGUGUUUGGCACCUCGAUGUCGGCUCAUCACAUCCUGGGGCUGAAGUAGGUCCCAAGGGUAUGGCUGUUCGCCAUUUAAAGUGGUACGCGAGCUGGGUUUAGAACGUCGUGAGACAGUUCGGUCCCUAUCUGCCGUGGGCGCUGGAGAACUGAGGGGGGCUGCUCCUAGUACGAGAGGACCGGAGUGGACGCAUCACUGGUGUUCGGGUUGUCAUGCCAAUGGCACUGCCCGGUAGCUAAAUGCGGAAGAGAUAAGUGCUGAAAGCAUCUAAGCACGAAACUUGCCCCGAGAUGAGUUCUCCCUGACUCCUUGAGAGUCCUGAAGGAACGUUGAAGACGACGACGUUGAUAGGCCGGGUGUGUAAGCGCAGCGAUGCGUUGAGCUAACCGGUACUAAUGAACCGUGAGGCUUAACC